rnacentral:rRNA from 1 species
GACGAACGCUGGCGGCGUGCUUAACACAUGCAAGUCGAACGGACUUUCCCUGCUUUUGUUUUUUGCUCGAUUGGCGAACGGGUGAGUAACACGUGAGUAACCUGCCCUUGACUUUGGGAUAACUUCAGGAAACUGGGGCUCAUACCGGAUAUGAUCUCCUGCUUCAUGGUGGGGGUUGUAAAGUUUCGGCGGUUGGGGAUGGACUCGCGGCUUCUCAGCUUGUUGGUGGGGUAUUGGCUUAUAAAGGCUUUGACGGGUAGCCGGCCUGAGAGGGUGACCGGCCACAUUGGGACUGAGAAACGGCCAAGACUGAUACGGGAGGCAGAAGUGGGGAAUAGUGGAAAAUGGGCGGAAGCAUGAUGGAGCAACGCCGGGUGCGGGAGGACGGCCUUCGGGUUGUAAACCGCUUUCGCCUGUGACGAAGCGUGAGUGACGGUAAUGGGUAAAGAAGCACCGGCUAACUACGUG